rnacentral:rRNA from 1 species
UACGGGGGGAGCAAGCGUUGUUCGGAUUUACUGGGCGUAAAGGGCGCGUAGGCGGUCAGCACAAGUCAGUUGUGAAAUCUCCGGGCUUAACUCGGAAAGGUCAACUGAUACUGUGCGACUAGAGUGCAGAAGGGGCAACUGGAAUUCUCGGUGUAGCGGUGAAAUGCGUAGAUAUCGAGAGGAACACCUGCGGCGAAGGCGACUUCCUGGCCUGUUCUUGACGCUGAGGCGCGAAAGCUAGGGGAGCAAACGGG